rnacentral:rRNA from 1 species
AAUAGAUACCCGGGUAGUCCACGCCGUAAACGUUGGGCACUAGGUGUGGGGUCUAUUCAACGGACUCCGUGCCGUAGCUAACGCAUUAAGUGCCCCGCCUGGGGAGUACGGCCGCAAGGCUAAAACUCAAAGGAAUUGACGGGGGCCCGCACAAGCAGCGGAGCAUGUUGCUUAAUUCGAGGCAACGCGAAGAACCUUACCUGGGUUUGACAUGUAGAGAAAAGCCAUAGAGAUAUGGUGUCCUUCGGGGUUCUACACAGGUGGUGCAUGGUUGUCGUCAGCUCGUGUCGUGAGAUGUUGGGUUAAGUCCCGCAACGAGCGCAACCCUUGUUCUAUGUUGCCAGCACGUCAUGGUGGGGACUCGUAGGAGACUGCCGGGGUCAACUCGGAGGAAGGUGGGGACGACGUCAAAGUCAUCAUGCCCCUUAUAUCCAGGGCUGCAAACAUGCUACAAUGGCCGGUACAAAGGGCUGCGAAACCGCGAGGUGGAGCGAAUCCCAUAAAGCCGGUCUCAGUUCGGAUUGGAGUCUGCAACUCGACUC